rfam:Oryza barthii chromosome 4, whole genome shotgun sequence.
AAUAAACAAACCCUAUAUUUAUGUGUCAACGUUUAACUGUUUGUCUUAUAUGAAUUUUUUUAUAAUUAAUAUUCUCAUUGCUGUUAGAUGAUAAAAUAUGAUUAAUACUUUAUACGUGAUUUGUUUUUUUAAUUUUUUAUAUAUUUUUUAAAUAAGACGGACAGACAAACGUCGGACUCG